rnacentral:rRNA from 1 species
CUACGGGAGGCAGCAGUUAGGAAUUGUGCCCAAUGCGCGAAAGCGUGAGACCGCGAAUCUGAGUGCCAAGGAGAACCUUGGCUGUGAUGGAGUGUUCACAGCUCCAACAGCAAGCAGAGGGCAAGGCUGGUGCCAGCCGCCGCGGUAAAACCAGCUCUGCGAGUGCCUAGCACGAUUAUUGGGCUUAAAGCAUCCGUGGCCGGAUAAGUAGGUCUCUGGUUAAAUCUGCAAGCUUAACUUGUAGGCUGUCAGAGAUACCGCUAAUCUAGGGAAUAGGAGAGGUGAACGGUACUGCGAGAGAAGCGGUGAAAUGCGUUGAUUCUCGCAGGACCCACAGUGGCGAAGGCGGUUCACUGGAAUAUCUCCGACGGUGAUGGAUGAAAGCCAGGGGAGCGAAAGGGAUUAGAUACCCGAGUAGUCCAAGCCG